rnacentral:sRNA from 1 species
CCCAGGGCGUUGCCCUGGGCUAGGUUGUUCCGCCCCUUCGGGGCA